rnacentral:rRNA from 1 species
UACGUAGGGGGCGAGCGUUGUCCGGAGUUACUGGGCGUAAAGCGCACGCAGGCGGUCUGCUAAGUUUGGAGUGACAGUUGGUGGCUUAACUGCCAAAGUGCUUCGAAAACUGACAGACUUGAGGGCUUCAGAGGGACACGGAAUUCCGGGUGGAGUGGUGAAAUGCGUAGAGAUCCGGAGGAACACCAAAGGCGAAGGCAGUGUCCUGGGGAGUACCUGACGCUCAGGUGCGACAGCGUGGGGAGCAAACAGG